rnacentral:lncRNA from 1 species
UUUCCCUCCUCGCCCCGCCGCCCGGUAAGCAUCCAGUUCCACCGCGCCUCCUUCCCCAAGCCCAACGCCAUGGAAGGCUCGGACCCGAGCUCGCCGUUGGCGUGAUGAGCUCCGUCGGAUCCCCUCCUCCGUCCACAAGCCCCGGGACGCCGCCGUGACUCCGUUACACGCCUUCCCCGAGUCGGAUCGCCAAUUUCCUCGACAUCUUCUUCCUCUGCUCGACUUCUUCAGGGAACGCGAACACCUCCACGAUCAGCGCUUCUUCCUGUACGCCUCCGUCGUCGCGUACCCGGCCUCCACGUCGUAUCCUUCGAGCCCAUGGUGAGCAGUCGCCCCUCCCCAGUCCUUCCCCGGCGUGAUUUUCAUCCCGUAGGCGUCGUUUUGAUCUUGACCGAGGCACGUCCGCCAUGGCCGUUUCUGAACAAAGCCGAGGCUCUGUUUCCACGCACCAGCACACCUUGCUGCCGCCCCUUGCUGCCGCCCCUUGCUGCACUUGCGCACCUUGCCAGAUGCUGCUUCCGCCCGCACACCAGGCUGUCGCCGUCGCCUCGCCGCAGACCCGCAACCUCACCAGUUUCCGCAUGCACGCACACCAGCAGCUCUCGCGCGCAAUCAGAGCCUCGCCCGUCGCCUUGCAGUCAUCCCAUGCAUCGCCGUGGUCGCCGCCAUGGCCACAAGCUCGGCCUCCCGCAAGCCCCACCUGUGCAUCCACACACACAGCAAGCGCCCGCCACAACCAAGUUUCCCUUGCCUAUUUCCGCACCCCCGCCGGUGCUCUACUGCGGCAGAGGCCGCUGCCUUUGGUCACCGCCGUUGCCGUCGGUUGUCGUUGUGCAGCCAUGGUCAAAGUCGAUCUGCUGAUCGAUAGCUCAAAGGAGCCAGGGAGCAUUGCAUAUUUACAGAAUUGCCACUGUUUUACAUUAUCUAUAGCUAAAUAUCCAUGCAUCCAAAUAAAAUAUGUCAUAUAUGAAUCUUGCUUAUAUUUUCAUCUACUUUCACAAUAUCACACUUUCAUCCAGGGAAACGUUUCCCUAUGGUGCGCCGUUCGAGCGUUUCGGCUGGUCGUGCACGCGCACUUUCUUUUACUCUUGCUGCUAGUAGGCCCACCCCAUCGCUUUUUCUCAUACCUUAUCGUCUCGCACCCGCUCUCUCCACAGCCUGUCAUUUGCUCUUCUUCAUCCCGCAUCUCAGCUUUUCUCCUCUAACAAAUCGCCAGCAACGGCAUGGCUGCCCAUCGCCCCCGGCCACCCGUCGCCGGCAGGCGAGGUCGUCGGCGUCGACUCAACUGAGGCUGCGUGCUGCAACCCGCCACGACGGACAGCCGCUAGCCUGGGGCGACGGCCUGGCCGUGCGCCACCACACCCCGAGUCCUCUUGCGUUUGCGCUGCACGCUCCGACGAGGCCUUGCUACGAGCGGCGACCGGUCGCCGGAGACUGGCACAGCAGCGAGGCAUGCUGCAACCUGCGUCCGUCGAAGCUGGAACCGCCAUCUCGGCGUGCUGCAACCAGGCAACACAGAGCUGCGACGGGGGCGGGUGGCGACGGGCGGGGCUGGGAUUGCUGGAGCCAGCGACGGGAGGUACUACAACCGGUGUCAUCGGGAGCAUCGACGGUCCGCGGCGGUGCUCCAAAUUUUUCUUUGGUGGAAAGACAACGAGGUGGCUUCUUUUGCUGGAACCGGCCCAUACUUUUGCUACUACCUUCUUUUGAUUUUGCUGGAGCCGGCUAGAAAUUUGCUACUACCGUAUUUUGAUUUUCGCUGAAAGAAGCCUAAUUUUUUGCGACCACCGUCUUCUACUUUUGCUGGAACCAGUAUUUGAUUUUGUUUUUUGCUGGAAACAUUAUUUGAUUUUGCUGGAACCAGCGAGUGGAUUUGCUACAACUAGCGCCCAGAUUUGCUACAAACCACAACAAUGAAGUGUCGCCGGCGGUGACGGUGCUGUGAUUUUUGCUACAACCGGUGCCCAGAUUUGCUACAAGCCUACAACCAACGACAACGAAGUGUGGCCGGCGACGACGGUGCUGCGAUUAUUUUUGGUUGCAACCAGGGAACGGCGAGCGUGGCCGGCGAAGACGACACACGAUUUUUUGUUGCUGCAGCGGGUGCUGGGAUUUUAUGCGGAACCAUGGGGGCUCCUGGAACUGCGGUUGUCCGGGAUCGAGAAUGGCGAGCUGGCGGCGCGGGAGAGGAAGGAUUCUCUCGUUCGUGCUAUUGGCGAGUCACGACAGCGCGUAGGGGGUGCAGCGAGCGACGCCGGGAGGAGGGAUUCGCCCAGGUCUCUGAUUUGGGGACGAAGCAGUGGGGAAUAAGAAGAUAUGAUGACGUGGGGAUAGGGAUCGGAUGGCUAUGGGGUACAAAAUCGGACGGAUUGCGUGCGACCGGCCGAACCGUAGUGCCGGUCCGCCGGCGCCUAACAAUCGCCUUUCAUCCAUGAUAAAAAUGCUUAAAAUUGUUGUUUGCUUUUUUACUUAAAUGGCAUGCUAAAAUGGUUUAUUUCAUAACUAAAUAACCGUAACUCUGAAUUUAAUAAAUUAUAUAUGUAACGUGCUCAGAAAAAUGCAUAGAUAAACUUGGUGCACUUAUUUUGCAUGCUUAACAACUCUAAAAUUGUGUAUAGGUAGAACAGUACCAAAUUUAAAAUAUGCGCAUGAGAAUUUUCCGGAAUUGUUGUUCGUUGUUCCGGCCUCAUUUAAACUUGCCUAAAUAGUUACUUUACUUAUGCUUCACCUCUUGC